GCCGAACUCCGCGGCGGCCAGAACUCAAGUUCUCACGCUCUGCGCAGCGUUAAGGGGUUGAGUUGAUGCGCCAUCCUAGCUGUUGAGACUUUGCUUGCUGGAAGAUCAUAAAAGAGGAUCACACUAUAACCAACAUCAAUAUGAACCAAUUACCAAGCAGCUGAAUUUUGAUCACAUGACCAUGGGGAUGCUGCAAUGGUCAUAAAAAUGUUCUGGGAGGCUGUUAUGAACAUGCCAUGCCAAGCCUAUGCAGUCCUUAAGAAUAUCCGAGGAUUAAAAGCUUUGAGGUCCACUGAAGGAAGAGUUUGUUGUUGUUGUGAAGUCAUG